GACUCCUUCUUUUCUGGAAUAUCCAGGCCUAAAGAGAUCAGCCAGGAGAUGUAAGAUUCCUUGUAGAAGUCUUUGUAUUCACACACCUUACUCACUCUAUUGAACUCUGCUUGUUACUGUCUCACAUUGUACCAGCCUGUGAGGCAGUCGUGCGUCUAUGGUUGGAUUCUCUUCAAGCUUAUGGUAAGGACAGUAUUGUGUUUCAAGUGCAUUUGACUUUCAGUUAUCUCUGCUAUUGUAGGGAGCACUAGUUUAGGUAAUUCAGAGCUUAAGAAAUUUCUUGUUUUAAAAAUCAUACUUAUUUUAGUGUUUGGGGAUCAUACUGAUGGAAUGAAUUUGCAUUUCUAUUUCUAAACCUGAAUUACCUGAUAGGAAAAUAUACUGAUAGUCAAGAACCAUCAAUCUUGAAUUAAAAAUUUUGCCUCAGAAAUCCAUAAAAUGAACAGUCCAUAUGAGGAUAAUUAAGACUGGGCUACACUGAGUCUAUUAAUGAAGACCGAUUUCUUUUCAAAUAUCUGUGUGGGUCCAAUGUGGCCUCUCAGCUGUCUGCUUUAUUCCUAAGAGCGAUUGGUAGAAGAUGCCUAUGUUGCAUUCUGAAUAAGUCUUUACUCACAAUAUCUGGAGAAGUCCUGUUGUAUCAGACUGCAUUGUUGAAGAUUAAGCUGGCCUUUUCAAAGGAUUUGAGCUUUGUAUAGGCUCUGCCGGUAUUAGCUCCUUUGAAAUCUAUUAGAUUUUUUCCUCCUGAAGUAAACUUGUUGAAAAUAUGGCCAAUUUAAGAAAAAAAGAGAAAAAGGAAGGCGACAUGUCCAUGCUUAAGAAGUAAACCAAAAAA
rnacentral:lncRNA from 1 species